rnacentral:rRNA from 1 species
GACGAACGCUGGCGGCGUGCUUAACACAUGCAAGUCGAACGGAAAGGCCUGCUUUCCCUUGUGGAUUGCGGGUACUCGAGUGGCGAACGGGUGAGUAACACGUGAGUGAUCUGCCCCCAACUUGGGUAUAAGCCUGGGAAACUGGGUCUAAUUCCCGAUAGGACUGCAGGGUGGUGCCUGUGGUGGAAAACGAUUUUCUAGUGGUUGGGGAUGAGCUCGCGGCCUAUCAGCUUGUUGGUGGGGUAAUGGCCUACCAAGGCGGCGACGGGUAGCCGGCCUGAGAGGGUGGACGGCCACAUUGGGACUGAGAUACGGCCCAGACUCCUACGGGAGGCAGCAGUGGGGACUAUUGCACAAUGGGCGGAAGCCUGAUGCAGCGACGCCGCGUGGGGGAUGACGGCCUUCGGGUUGUAAACUCCUUUCGACCGCGAGGAAGCCACCUGGUUGGAAGGGUGGUGACGGUAGUGGUAGAAGAAGCACCGGCUAACUACGUG